rnacentral:rRNA from 1 species
GAACUGAAGAGUUUGAUCAUGGCUCAGAUUGAACGCUGGCGGCAGGCCUAACACAUGCAAGUCGAGCGGUAGAGAGGUGCUUGCACCUCUUGAGAGCGGCGGACGGGUGAGUAAUGCCUAGGAAUCUGCCUGGUAGUGGGGGAUAACGCUCGGAAACGGACGCUAAUACCGCAUACGUCCUACGGGAGAAAGCAGGGGACCUUCGGGCCUUGCGCUAUCAGAUG